UAAGGAAUAUUCCACAAUGGGCGAAAGCCUGAUGGAGCGACGCCGCGUGAGGGAAGAAGGCCUUCGGGUUGUAAACCUCUUUUCUCCGGGAUGACACGUCUCCUUAUACGAGACUGGGACAGUACCGGAGGAAUAAGCCUCGGCUAACUACGUGCCAGCAGCCGCGGUAAUACGUAGGAGGCGAGCGUUGUCCGGAUUUACUGGGCGUAAAGCGCGCGCAGGCGGCAUGGUAAGUACGUUGUGAAAUCUCCCUGCUCAACGGGGAGGGUGCGGCGUAGACUGCCAAGCUAGAGGACGGUAGAGGGGGGUGGAAUUGCUGGUGUAGCGGUGAAAUGCGUAGAGAUCAGCAGGAACACCCGUGGCGAAGGCGGCCCCCUGGGCCGAACCUGACGCUGAGGCGCGAAGGCUAGGGGAGCGAACGG
rnacentral:rRNA from 1 species